UUUCCGUAGGUGAGCCUGCGGAAGGAUCAUUAUUGUAUAACCGAGGUGCGAGGGCUGUCGCUGAGCCGAAAGGUCGUGCACGCCCGAGUGCCCUCACACACAUCCAUCUCACCCCUAUGUGCACCACCGCGUGGGUCCCCCUUUGGCUUGUUCGGAGGGGGGCUUACGUUUUCACACAAACUUUGUAUGCAGUGUAGAAUGUAUUUUUUGUUUUUGCGAUCACGCAAUCAAUACAACUUUCAACAACGGAUCUCUUGGCUCUCGCAUCGAUAGAACGCAGC
rnacentral:misc_RNA from 1 species